rnacentral:rRNA from 1 species
GAUGAACGCUAGCGGCAGGCUUAAUACAUGCAAGACGAACGGCAAGUUGAGUAGCAAUACUUGACCUAGAGUGUCGCACGGGUGCGUAACACGUAUGCAACCUACCUAUAACAGGAGGAUAGCUCGGGGAAACUCGGAUUAACCCUCCAUAAUAUCAAUGACUGGCAUCAGUUGCUGAUUAAAACUCCGGUGGUUAUAGAUGGGCAUGCGUCUGAUUAGUUAGUUGGUGAGGUAACGGCUCACCAAGACGAUGAUCAGUAGGGGAACUGAGAGGUUGAUCCCGCACACUGGCACUGAGAUCCGGGCCAGACUCCUACGGGAGGCAGCAGUAGGGAAUUUUGGACAAUGAGCGCAAGCCUGAGCCAGCAAUGCCGCGUGCAGGAUGAAGGCCUUCGGGUUGUAAACUGCUGUUGUACGGAACGAAACGGCCCUUUCUAAUACAGGGGGCUAAUGACGGUACCGUAAGAAUAAGCACCGGCUAACUACGUGCCAGCCGCCGCCGUAAGAC